UACAGAGGUCUCAAGCGUUGUUCGGAUUCAUUGGGCGUAAAGGGUGCGUAGGCGGCGCGGUAAGUCGGGUGUGAAAUCUCGGAGCUUAACUCCGAAACUGCAUUCGAUACUGCCGUGCUUGAGGACUGGAGAGGAGACUGGAAUUUACGGUGUAGCGGUGAAAUGCGUAGAUAUCGGGAGGAACACCAGUAGCGAAGGCGGCACCCUGGGCCGGUACUGACGCUGAGGAGCGAAAGCGUGGGGAGCAAACAGG
rnacentral:rRNA from 1 species